CUUUUUCUCGUGACUAGAAUUGUUGUCGUGGUAAUAGACGUGCCCACAACCAAUGGGUUGCAAUGCUAAAAAAUAAAAAUGGGGGUUUUAAAUUGAUUAAGAUAAUAAAAUAAGGAGAUACGAAAAAUAAAAUAAAAUAAAAAUAGAUUCAAAAAUGAAAAAAUAAAUGUAAGAAAAUAAAAUAAAUAUUUUUUAAGCUUAGCCUUAGCCUCAGUGUACUCUAAUCUUGAAUGGAUCCUUGAAAUAGAAUUUUCCUUCCAAUCGAUAAGCUGAUUAUAGCAAUCAAGGAUCCCUCAAACUGCCAACUCUUCCUCUCGUAGUUGAUCCCGGUAUCACUUGCAAAUUGACCCUUCUCAAAAUUCCAACCACAUGGCACGUACCCUUAAUUUAAGAUUUCGACAACCUUGCGAUCUGAAAAGCUCAACUUGAAUUAACGGCCUCAACCGUGUGGGUCGUUUAAAUUCGAUUACUGUCUCCCUUGACCGAAUCCAACUAGCUUUUUUCCAAUUGAACACGUCAAUUUGUUCGCGGGAUUUUGAAUACAGCACCACCGACUCAACUUCCCAAUUGUACGCCAAACGAUUCCAACCCAACGCGCACUUUUUGAAUUGAAAUUGAAUCAACUUUGAGGGAUGAAUUUGUUCUAUCCCAUAUACCGGAGAGAUAGCAAAUACGAAAUUGUAAAGUAUUUAGUGUGAGUUUAUAUCUCACAGUUACUUUGUCGAAGUGAUAACCGGCUAAAGUUAAAAAGGAUUUAAUUAAUCAUGAAAAAAAUCAUGCUUUGGAAAGUGGUUUUGUGAAAUUGUGGAAAGUGGAAAGAAAAAAGGCCUUGGAAGGAAUUAAACCAAAAGGUUGAAAAUAAAAGAAAGAAAAAAUUGAAAUGGCAGAAUAUAUCAUGAAAAAAAUUAUUAAAUACCAAAGUUCAAGUGU
rnacentral:lncRNA from 1 species